CCACAACAGUUUGGAAGUGACAAAAAAAAUACUGAUCGCUCUGAAAGAGAGGCCUGUACCUGGGUCACUUCUUCAUUCUAUUCAGUAUGAUGAAGAAGGCACAGCAAGGUUUGAAGGAGUUGAGUUGAAAGGAAAGAAUGAUGCCUUCAAGAGUUCAAAAAAGAAGUUUCUGGAAGCAAUACAGUCCAGCUUUGAAGAUCGCUUUGAAGACAUUGAAGAAGGAGUUCUUCAGGCAACAUCGGUGACAUCCUUCAAAACAUGGCCUGACAAAGAAAACUCAGAAGACUUUGGCAAUGAAGACAUUGUAACUCUGACCAGUCAGUUUCAACCAGUACUAGAGGCACAGGGUGUUAGUUGUAGGGAAAUAGUGAAUGAAUGGACAGUUCUUAAGACUAGUUUGUAUAACAAGAAUGACUGGG